AAUUAAUUAAAUAUUCCUCUGAAAUACUUUGUUCUUUACAUAGUUGAAUGUGCUGACAAUAAAAUCAUACAAAAAUUAAAAAAUGGAAAUCAAAUUUUUCAACCCAUGGAGGUUUGGAUUUGGAGUCAGACUCAAAAUUAAAGUGGAAAAAACACUACAGGCUGAUCCAACUUUGAUGUAAUGUCCUUAAAACAAGUCAAAAUGAGGUUCAGUAGUGUGUGUGGCCUCCACGUGCCUGUAUGACCUCUCUACAAUGCCUGUGCAUGCUCCUGAUGAGGUGGCGAAUGGUCUCUUGAGGGAUCUCCUCCCAGACCUGGACUAAAGCAUCUGCCAACUCCUGGACAGUCUGUGGUGCAACAUGACGUUGGUGGAUGGAGCGAGACAUGAUGUCCCAGAUGUGGUCAAUUGGACUCAGGUCUGGGGAAUGGGUGGGCCACUCCAUAGCAUCAAUGCCUUCGUCUUGCAGGAACAUCUGACACACUCCAGCCACAUGAGGUUUAGCAUUGUCUUGCAUUAGGAGGAACCCAGGGCCAACCGCACCAGCAUAUGGUCUCACAAGAGGUCUGAGGAUCCCAUCUCGGUACCUAAUGGCAGUCAGGCUACCUCUGGCGAGCACAUGGAGGGCUGUGAGGCCCCCCAAAGAAAUGCCACCCCACACCAUUACGGACCCACUGCCAAACCGGCCAUGCUGGAGGAUGUUGCAGGCAGCAGAACGUUCUCCACGGCAUCUCCAGACUCUGUCACGUCUGUCACAUGUACUCAGUGUGAACUUGCUUUCAUCUGUGAAGAGCACAGGGAGCCGAGGUUGAAUUUGCCAAUCUUGCUGUAAGCACAAUGUCGGGCCCUCAUACCACCCUCAUGGAGUCUAUUUCUGACCGUUUGAGCAGACACAUGCACAUUUGUGGCUUGCUGGAGGUCAUUUUGCAGGGCUCUGGCAGUGCUCCUCCUGUUCCUCAAUGCACAAAGGCGGAGGUAGCGGUCCUGCUGCUGGGUUGUUGCCCUCCUACGGCCUCCUCCACGUCUCCUGAUGUAUUGGCCUGUCUCCUUGUAGCGCCUCCAUGCUCUGGACACUACGCUGACAGACACAGCAAACCUUCUUACCACAGCUCGCAUUGAUGUGCCAUCCUGGAUGAGCUGCACUACCUAAGCCAGUUGUGUGGGUUUUAGACUCCGUCUCAUGCUACCACUAGAGUGAAAGCACUGCCAUCAUUCAAAAGUGACCAAUACAUCAGCCAGGAAGCAUAGGAACUGAGAAGUGCAGAACCACUCCUUCAUUGGGGGUGUCUUGCUAACUGCCUAUAAUUUCCACCUGUUAUCUAUCCCAUUUGCACAACAGCAUGUGAAAUUGAUUGUCACCCAGUGUUGCUUCCUAAGUGGACAGUUUGAUUUCACAGAAGUGUGAUUGACUUGGAGUUACAUUGUGUUGUUUAAGUGUUCCCUUUAUUUUUUUAAGCAGUGUAUUUUAUACAUAUAUCAUUUGUGUUUGGGGCCAUUUCAGUAAUGAAAUGAAAUAGAGAUAAAGUUAUCUACCUUUAAUAAGCAAAGUCGGUUCAGGUGUGCCUGUAAAUAAAGUGGACCUACCUUAGAUAAAGUUGAAAAAAGGGAGUGGAGGGUGGGCCAGCAGUACGUCUGGAACCAAUCAUGGUUAUGUAGAGAGGAGGAGGGGGGUUGCCUAUUAGGAGGUGUCAUAUCUGUUCCCCUUUCCAGGGGGUGUCAAGGGGGGAGGAGGGGAGUAGCUUCUACUACAGAAUGUGUUGGUGCUUGCGUGUUCCUGGGGGUAUCAGGUAGGGUUCUGUUUUGGCAGUGCUAGUCCACUUCUACACCUCUGCUUUGCUUUUAUGUUUCCAUAUUGAGUCUGGGUAGCGUCUCUGUUGGGCACAUUUAGUCGCUGGAGGAACGGAACUUGAUCAUCUGCCGAGGUUAGAGUGAGAGUCUGGUCCCCUUUCUGGACCUGCAGUGAUCCGUCCGUUCCCCAUCUGUAGCGGAUCGUUGCCUCCCGGAGCUGUUUUGCUAUUGGUGCACGUUGUCUUCUCAUCAGCAGUGCCGCAAAAGGGAUAUCUCCAUGGAUAGCCAUAGUAUGUCCCUCAAAUUUAUGUUGGGUAGUUCCCUGGAAUGUGACAGUAUCGCGGUUCGCAUCGCCACAUCCCUAGUCACGACUAUAAUGUCUCUGGGUGCUCCGUCUGUGGCCGCCAUUGCCUUCCGGAUUCGAAAAGCGGAAAGCAGUGUACCUAAGUCUUUACCGCCUUGGAUGCCUAUUGUGGUAAACAGUCUCUGGAUAUAUGGCAGUAUGGCUUCUCCACUGACGCCUUCCGGGAUGCCUCGGAGGCGGACAUUUCUCUUUAUGUGCCUCACCUCCAGUGCCGUGCCUGUCCUGUAGGGUGCGAUCCCUACCACCUUCUCUAUUCUCCACCUCAGUGAUCCUUGUCUGGAGGGCCCCCAUCUCCUUCCAAGUUUCUUUGAGGUCUGGCUUUCCAAACCUCCCUCAUUUCUUGCAGGAGACCCCUGAUGUCUCUCUUGGUCACCGGAGAGGAGUCUUCCUCUAACCCCCGGUAUUGGGGGCCCCUGCGGGUGGAGAGACGAGUCUCUCCCUGUCAUCUUGAGAGUCCUCUGAAGCCUCUUCUUUGCUAUGAGCCUCUGGUUUUGGGCCAGUUGUAUGGGCCUCUCGAAUGAGAGCCUGAUGUAGGUUUGUUUGGCCAUCUCUGGCAGGCGGGAUUUUUUAUGCCUUCGUCCCAUGAUUUUCUCUGGUGUGGGAGUGUGUUUUUGGUCGCUGGUAUGGAGUCGGGUUACCAUUUUUAGUUGUGUUUGGUCUCGCUCUGAAAAAGGUUUUUAUGGCUGUGGCCAAUGUUCA